rnacentral:lncRNA from 1 species
CCGCGCGGGCCCCCAAACAAGCAAGCCCGGUGGGUUGGGAUGGCUGCUCGCCUCUGAUUGGCUGGAGAGGUAGCCAGUCAAGGGGCUGGGAGCAGCAGGCCAAUCGGCUGGCGCUGGUCGUUCCGCCCAAUGAGAACCCGAGGAGCGGCGGUUCGAAAGAGCGGCCGGUGCUGCGGCGGAGCGGGUACAAGGCUCGGGCCGCCUGCAGUAGACAUGGAGACAAGGAAAUUAGAUGGAAGUUUUAAAGAAACUGCCCUGAAUAAAGAUGAAGUUGAAAAUAUUCUCAGUGAAAUUAGUAAUCUUAAAAUGACUGAGAGAGGGAAUGGCAAUAAAAAUAAUGAAGUCAAAUGUGAUAGCCUUUGUCCAGCUCCUCAGAACAUUCGGUAUCUUGGUCUGCAAACUCCAAGAACUCCUGCUCCAGGGAUCCUACAACUGUUGCCAUCUCAAUCAUCUGAUUUCGUGGGAGAAGAAUAUUACUCUUCAAAAAAAAUCUCCAAAUUAGGAGAAUGGAGUAUAACAACUCUUAAAGACAAUAUUAUUCCCACAGGGAGAGAACUUCCUCGUACCCCAUUCUGCACAAAUCAACAAGGGAAAUUGUUACUAGAAGCUUUAAAGGACGAUACAGUACUGAAUGAGAGACAUUCAACAGGUGUAGUUGGACCUAGUCAUUCAGAAUGUGAAACACUUAAGUUACAGAUUGAUGCUGACGUGCUGGAGAAACUUUUGAGGGAGGAGACUUCUGUAAAGACUCGUGCCUCAAAUGCAUGGGUUUACACUAGGAAAAAAGAUUCCAUUUGCCAAUGUAUGCAGCAGCCUGAUGACAACCACAUCAUCUCUGGCAAUACAGAAAAUGGCAAGGAGGUGGUACCACCUCUAGUUGAGGAUGAGCAAGAAUUACAAGAAAGAGUUGAACCUCUGCAAGAUUCUCCCGUACCAAAGUGUUUCACUACCUCUUCAACAAACAGGAGAAGACUAAGUCAGAUACCAGUUCAAGGGUUGAGUGAGAUGAAUAUAUCAAUGAUGAUUAACAGAAUAAAAGGCUACCAAUGCACUAAAGAAGAUAUGGAGUUUCUUCGGCACAUGAAAAACCAAGAACAAGCACAGAAAUUGAAGGCAAAAUAUUUACAUCUACAAAAGGAACUAACCAGCAUGGUUCGGACAAAGGAGCUGCUACUAGCACAGAGAGAGAAAGUGCAAGAAGAGAUUGUACAAAUGAAAACAUCUUAUGAUAGAACAGUCCAACUUGGAAGAGCCUUCCUGGGUAAGAAAAUGGAUCCUGCCGCUGUCGAAGCAUUGCCAGCAAAAGCUGUGCUUGGGCAGCUGAAUCCUGUGAAAGUGCAGCAUGUUCAACAGCAAGAGAAGGCUGAACUUCAGGCACUUACAAAAGAGCUAAAGAAGUUAAAACAUUCCAUUGCCCAACUGCCUCAGAAACAGGGAAUAAGGCUGGAAAGAGAAUCUUGUAAACAACGGAUACAGGAAGCAAAACACGGACUACAGCAAGCACAAGAAGAUGUGGAGAAGCUGAAAUGCAAAGUUGAAGCAGCACAGUCAAAACUAGCAGAAGUUCAGGAACACCUCUGUAAUACAAGAGUUGAAAUAGAGAAGUGGCACACAUUGAAAGAGAAGACUACUGUUUCCCAGCCACUGGAGAAUGACAGAAUCUUGGGCAAUGAUCAUCUUAAGAGAAGACUUAACAGAAUCUUGCGAAGAACAGAUAUCUUUUUAGAAAGGGAAAAAAUAAUUGAAAGACUUAAUCUUUUGCAAUGA